UACGGGGGGGAGCAAGCGUUGUUCGGAUUUACUGGGCGUAAAGGGCGCGUAGGCGGCGCAACAAGUCACUUGUGAAAUCUCCGGGCUUAACCCGGAGCGGUCAAGUGAUACUGUCGUGCUAGAGUGCGGAAGGGGCUACUGGAAUUCUCGGUGUAGCGGUGAAAUGCGUAGAUAUCAGGAGGAACACCAAUGGCGAAGGCAGCUCGCUGGAACGGUACUGACGCUGAGGCGCGAAAGCGUGGGGAGCGAACAGG
rnacentral:rRNA from 1 species